rnacentral:tRNA from 1 species
GGGUUUGUAGCUCAACGGUAGAGCUCUACGCUUUUAACGUAGGUUGAAAUGGACUUGAAAUCCA